GAUGAACGCUGGCGGCGUGCCUAAUACAUGCAAGUCGAGCGAACAGACGAGGAGCUUGCUCCUCUGACGUUAGCGGCGGACGGGUGAGUAACACGUGGAUAACCUACCUAUAAGACUGGGAUAACUUCGGGAAACCGGAGCUAAUACCGGAUAAUAUAUUGAACCGCAUGGUUCAAUAGUGAAAGACGGUUUUGCUGUCACUUAUAGAUGGAUCCGCGCCGCAUUAGCUAGUUGGUAAGGUAACGGCUUACCAAGGCAACGAUGCGUAGCCGACCUGAGAGGGUGAUCGGCCACACUGGAACUGAGACACGGUCCAGACUCCUACGGGAGGCAGCAGUAGGGAAUCUUCCGCAAUGGGCGAAAGCCUGACGGAGCAACGCCGCGUGAGUGAUGAAGGUCUUCGGAUCGUAAAACUCUGUUAUGAGGGAGGAACAAAUGUGUAAGUAACUAUGCACGUCUUGACGGUACCUAAUCAGAAAGCCACGGCUAACUACGUG
rnacentral:rRNA from 1 species